UACGUAGGGGGCGAGCGUUGUCCGGAUUUAUUGGGCGUAAAGAGCUCGUAGGCGGCUUGGCAAGUCGGGUGUGAAACCUCCAGGCUCAACCUGGAGACGCCACUCGAUACUGCCAUGGCUAGAGUCCGGUAGGGGACCACGGAAUUCCUGGUGUAGCGGUGAAAUGCGCAGAUAUCAGGAGGAACACCGGUGGCGAAGGCGGUGGUCUGGGCCGGCACUGACGCUGAGGAGCGAAGGCGUGGGUAGCAAACAGG
rnacentral:rRNA from 1 species